GCACGGGUAUCACCUCGCGGCCCGGGUCAGGGAGAGAAGAAAAGAGCCGGAGGGAGGAGGAGGAAACAAUGUAGCCGCCGCGGCCCCAGGAGAGUUCCGCUUCCGAACGCCGCCGCCGCCAAGGUCCCGGCGUCCCGAGCCCUUGACGCGGCCCUUUCGGCCCAGCAUCACGGCCUGGCUGCGGACCCAUUGGUUGUUGGACUCUUGAAAAGGAGAGCCGCGCCGAGACGCCGAGCGAGCGGCUGGAGGGAUGGCGGCUUCGAGGACAGGAGCUGCUUGCCGGGCAGCCCCCAGCGAGAAUGUAAGGAAGCUCCUCUUUGGAUCCAGGCACCUGUAUUCAACAGGAGGGCCUGGCUCAUCCCAGGCUCUCAGUAAAUGCCUGUUGGAUAAAUCGUUGCCGCAACCUGUCCGACCGGGGCUUCAUUUCUCAGGAUGGGCUGAUGGACAGGCACAGGGGACAUGUCCUUACUGGGAAGAGGACUAAGUCCAGGUUUUGGGUCCAGCUGAAGCAGAGGGGUCGACUUCUGCACAUCCCUCUGGUGGCCGCAGUGUGGAGACUGCUGGGAUCUCUUGGCGCGGAGAGGUCAACAAGUGUUGGGCUCACAGCUGCCAGGAUGUGAUCCUUACAUCAGGAAAAAGAUUGUUUGAGAAUCUUUAAGUGCUCUACCAAUUCAAACUAUUAUUGUUGGUUUUAAUUUUAAAUGAUUUAUCAUUACAUAAUAAAUAAUACUGAAUAUUAUUUUAAAGUCAUCGUAAUCACCACCACCACUACCACCACCAUCAUUUUAUGGCUAGGAGAGCAGACCUCCAGAAUGUACUGGGAAGGGAUGGGGGAGCAUGGGGGGAGAAGUAUUCUAAUUUGGACAACAGUGGCUAAGAACAUUUCUCUUUUUAUUUUUGUUGUUUCGUUUUCUGUUCCAACUAAAUGCUUUUAUAUAUAACCUAUAUCAGAUUGCUUGCUGUC